UCCACUUGAAAAAAAAACACCACACUGCUAUCUCUCUGCUCUCUCUCCCUUAUCUCUUUCUCUCCCAAUCUGAGCGGCGGCGGCGACGCUCGCAUCUGGCGAAGCCCAAGCGCCCGGUGAGGCCACCUCUCCCCUCCGUCCCAUGGCACCACCGCCCCAACCCAUAGCCAGCUCCCUCUCCCCCCUCGCAUGGUAGCAGAUCUGAGCGGGACAAGGCCCCUUCGGUUCUGGUGGUUCGGAACGGGGCGGGUGGCCUCUGCUCCCUUAUCUUCUAGCGACUAGGAGCGUGGCGGCUGGUGCCCCCAGCCAUCCAUGGCGGCAACGACAUCCAUAAGCCCCCCCUUCUCUGUAGAUUUUAACUCCCAGCAAUGAACCUUCCAUAGCUCUGGUGGUUGGUACGCCCAUCUCUCUGCAGAUUGUUCUCUUUAAAAAAACUAGUACUGCUUUGAUUCAUGGAAAUAAAGAAGCUUUUGAAGCAGGCUACCUUUAGAAUCCGCAGGUAGAAGAUUUCUGCAAAGAUAAAGCAAAAUGAGUGGGCAUUGUUCACCUUCAAGUGAUCAUCCAUUUAAUGUGCUUGUUGCAAUCACUCAUGUGAACAUUUAAAACACUGCUCAGCAAAUGAAGGGUGGAAACAGUACUAACCAGGAAUGCCACUAUUCAGUGAUGUGGUAGAUGCGAAUGACGCCUGGAAUUCCGAAAGGAUGAAAAUGUUGGGAAUUGUUUGGACACAUCUACCUUUUAAGUGUUCUCUCCCUUCCUGCCCAAAACAAUGUAAGGAAGCAAACAUAAGGAGUGGACUCGUAAUAAACCAUGAACCAGUGAUCCGUGUCAACUGGAUGUUUUAGUUUUCAUUUUGUACAACUGAUAUCUCAUACUUGCAGACUUUAAGUGUCCUUUGUUGAACCUGAUGUAUGGUGUCUUGGUGGUUAUGUUUAGAACCGACUGAAGUGCAUGUAUGUGACAAUUAGUUAAUGGAAUAAAAAAUUGGUGCACCUGAUGUGAACCUGA